rnacentral:rRNA from 1 species
AGAGUUUGAUCCUGGCUCAGAUUGAACGCUGGCGGCGUGCCUAACACAUGCAAGUCGAGCGGUAACAGGUGUAGCAAUACAUGCUGACGAGCGGCGAACGGGUGAGUAAUGUUUCGGAAUCUGCCCAAUGGUGGGGAAUAACCAGCCGAAAGGUUGGCUAAUACCGCAUAAGUCCUACGGGAGAAAGCGGGGGAUCGUAAGACCUCGCGCCGAUGGAUGAGCCGAAACCGGAUUAGCUAGUUGGUAGGGUAACGGCCUACCAAGGCGACGAUCCGUAGCUGGUCUGAGAGGACGACCAGCCACACUGGGACUGAGACACGGCCCAGACUCCUACGGGAGGCAGCAGUGGGGAAUAUUGGACAAUGGGGGAAACCCUGAUCCAGCGACGCCGCGUGUGUGAAGAAGGCCUGCGGGUUGUAAAGCACUUUUAGUGGGGAUGAAAAGCUCAGGGCUAAUACCGCUGAGUCUUGACCUAACCCAAAGAAAAAGCACCGGCUAAC